UAGUAGCCUCGGAUUGACUGAUUA
rnacentral:siRNA from 1 species